rnacentral:rRNA from 1 species
AUGCAAGUCGAGUGCGCGCCUGUAGCAAUACAGGUGGCGCACGGCGCACGGGUGCGUAACACGUGGGUAAUCUGCCCUUCGAUGGGGAAUAACUCGCCGAAAGGCGAGCUAAUUCCGCAUAACAUUCCGAGAACUUCGGUUUUUGGAUUCAAAGGCGUAAGUCGUCGGAGGAGGAGCCCGCGCACGAUUAGCUAGUUGGUGAGGUAACGGCUCACCAAGGCUAUGAUCGUUAGCUGGUCUGAGAGGAUGGCCAGCCACACUGGAACUGAGACACGGUCCAGACUCCUACGGGAGGCAGCAGUGGGGAAUCUUGCACAAUGGGCGAAAGCCUGAUGCAGCGACGCCGCGUGGGGGAUGAAGCUUCUCGGAGUGUAAACCCCUUUCGACCCGGACGAAUGCCCCGCAAGGGGACUGACGGUACGGGUAUAAGAAGCCCCGGCUAACUACGUGCCAGCAGCCGCGGUAAGACGUAGGGGGCCAGCGUUGCUCGGAAUUACUGGGUGUAAAGGGUUCGUAGGCGGUGUGGCAAGUCGGGAGUGAAAUCUCUGGGCUCAACCCAGAGUCUGCUUCCGAAACUGCUGUGCUUGAGUGUGGGAGAGGCGCGUGGAAUUGCAGGUGUAGCGGUGAAAUGCGUAGAUAUCUGCAGGAACACCCGUGGCGAAAGCGGCGCGCUGGACCACUACUGACGCUGAG